rnacentral:rRNA from 1 species
GGAUGAACGCUGACAGAAUGCUUAACACAUGCAAGUCAACUUGAAUUUGGGUUUUUCACUUAGGUUUGGGUGGCGGACGGGUGAGUAACGCGUAAAGAACUUGCCUCACAGCUAGGGACAACAUUUGGAAACGAAUGCUAAUACCUAAUAUUAUGAUAAUAGGGCAUCCUAUAAUUAUGAAAGCUAUAAGCGCUGUGAGAGAGCUUUGCGUCCCAUUAGCUAGUUGGAGAGGUAACGGCUCACCAAGGCGAUGAUGGGUAGCCGGCCUGAGAGGGUGAUCGGCCACAAGGGGACUGAGACACGGCCCUUACUCCUACGGGAGGCAGCAGUGGGGAAUAUUGGACAAUGGACCGAGAGUCUGAUCCAGCAAUUCUGUGUGCACGAUGAAGUUUUUCGGAAUGUAAAGUGCUUUCAGUUGGGAAGAAACAAAUGACGGUACCAACAGAAGAAGUGACGGCUAAAUACGUG